rnacentral:rRNA from 1 species
UGGAUACCGUGGCUCAGGAUGAACGCUAGCGACAGGCUUAACACAUGCAAGUCGAGGGGCAGCGGGGGUAGCAAUACCCGCCGGCGACCGGCGCACGGGUGAGUAACGCGUACGCAACUUACCUAUCAGAGGGGGGAUAACCCGGCGAAAAGUCGGACUAAUACCGCAUGAAGCAGGGGUCCCGCAUGGGGAUAUUUGCUAAAGAUUCAUCGCUGAUAGAUAGGCAUGCGUUCCAUUAGGCAGUUGGG